UAUACAUUGCCGUCAUAACAUCCUGCAAGAGAGGAGAUUCAGCAGCGUAGAUAAAUUUUGUGCGUAUUAAAAAACUCACCUACUAUACCCCUAAAAUCGUCUAAAAUUAAAACCGAAGCUUCGAUUCUAUCAGGUGCCAUAGUCACUGAAUUCGAAUGUUUACUUUCUACAUUCGUGGUGGCGUUAACUAAAGAUACUGUUUGAUUAUUAUCAGAAUGAUAUUCCAAAUGGUUGAUUGUUUUGUCUUUAGGAUUAUUCGAUAAAGUUUUUUUUAUAUAACUAAGACAAUCAUCAUCAGUAGCAUUAUUCAGAAGCAUGCCGAUGAUUUCAGGAAAUUCUACAUUCACUUCAUUGGACAAAAUUUGUUGUUACAAUUUCGUUAAUACUAGCCCAGCAAGAUACUUCAGUGAUACCAUAAAUAUUAUAAAUCUUUGUAUUAUUAUGUGGAUGUUUGGCUUCAAGAAGUGACUCUAUUUUAGGGAAAGGUUCUCCACCUAAAAGGAGAACUCUAAGAGAGGUCAUGGUAUUCUAUUGCUACAUUGUCAAGGUCGUUCCAUUUACAUGUGUUAUGCAGUUUCUGUACGAUAUUAAACUGCUGCUGGAUUGACAAGACAGUUUGUGUCUUGUUUGAUCCAUCUAACAUUGUGCAGUAAAUGAUGCACACACUUCCACAACACACGAUAUCAAAAAUUGUUCAUUCGUAUGAAUUCAGCACUAGAGUUUUACAAAAAAACACAAGAUAAAAUUAUAAAAGACAUAUGGCUUGAAUAAAGAAUUAUUAUUAUUUUUAAUUGAGAAAUAGAUCGUUCAACAAAUUAUUUUUAUACUAAUUGCAUGCUUUAUUCGUUUAAUAUUUCCAGUUU